rnacentral:rRNA from 1 species
UAAUGUUUGAUGUUCUAACGUUGACCCGUAAUCCGGGUUGCGGACAGUGUCUGGUGGGUAGUUUGACUGGGGCGGUCUCCUCCUAAAGAGUAACGGAGGAGCACGAAGGUUGGCUAAUCCUGGUCGGACAUCAGGAGGUUAGUGCAAUGGCAUAAGCCAGCUUGACUGCGAGCGUGACGGCGCGAGCAGGUGCGAAAGCAGGUCAUAGUGAUCCGGUGGUUCUGAAUGGAAGGGCCAUCGCUCAACGGAUAAAAGGUACUCCGGGGAUAACAGGCUGAUACCGCCCAAGAGUUCAUAUCGACGGCGGUGUUUGGCACCUCGAUGUCGGCUCAUCACAUCCUGGGGCUGAAGUAGGUCCCAAGGGUAUGGCUGUUCGCCAUUUAAAGUGGUACGCGAGCUGGGUUUAGAACGUCGUGAGACAGUUCGGUCCCUAUCUGCCGUGGGCGCUGGAGAACUGAGGGGGGCUGCUCCUAGUACGAGAGGACCGGAGUGGACGCAUCACUGGUGUUCGGGUUGUCAUGCCAAUGGCACUGCCCGGUAGCUAAAUGCGGAAGAGAUAAGUGCUGAAAGCAUCUAAGCACGAAACUUGCCCCGAGAUGAGUUCUCCCUGACCCUUUAAGGGUCCUGAAGGAACGUUGAAGACGACGACGUUGAUAGGCCGGGUGUGUAAGCGCAGCGAUGCGUUGAGCUAACCGGUACUAAUGAACCGUGAGGCUUAACCUU